UACGUAGGGUCCGAGCGUUGUCCGGAUUUAUUGGGCGUAAAGAGCUCGUAGGCGGUUCCGUAAGUCAGAUGUGAAAACUCAGGGCUCAACCCGGAGACGCCAUCUGAUAUUGCGGUGACUGGAGUCUGGUAGGGGAACACGGAAUUCCUGGUGUAGCGGUGAAAUGCGCAGAUAUCAGGAGGAACACCGAUGGCGAAGGCAGUGUUCUGGGCCAGUACUGACGCUGAGGAGCGAAAGCGUGGGGAGCAAACAGG
rnacentral:rRNA from 1 species